GCUGAAGGACCAGAUGGCCCCACUCAAGGCCAAGCUACAGACCUACCACAGUCUACCUCCAGAUAUUUCUUUGACAAAAGUGAAGCUGGAAGAAUUGAAGAGAGAAGUGGAUAUGUUGGAAUCGGAAGUGUGUAAAAACAUUGAUUUGAUGCACAUAU